UGAGGAACAUGACCUUCGGCGGGGGAUAGCCGGCCCAACGGCCGGGUAAUACCGCGUACGACCACAUGGGGACAUCCCUGGGUGGUGAAAGCAGCAAUGCGCCGAUGGAGUGCCUCGCGGCCUAUCAGCUAGUUGGUGAGGUAACGGCUCACCAAGGCGACGACGGGUAGCUGGCCUGAGAGGAUGGCCAGCCACAGUUGGGACUGAGACACGGCCCAGACCUCCGUAGGGAGG
rnacentral:rRNA from 1 species